CGCACAAUAUAUCCGUGUUCUUGAAUUGUUCAUCGUGUCUAGCUCUGGCUCAUAUUCAUCAACCGCAUCAUAAUCGAACUCAUCUUCCACAAUCAUGUUGUGAAGAAUGACACACGUCAUCAUGAUGGAUCGAAGUGACUCUACAUCGAACAUUCUGGCAGCACCCCUGACGAUCGCCCAACGAGCUUGAAUGAUACCAAAACAACGCUCCACAUCCUUCCUGCACCCCUCUUGACAGCUUGCAAAGUGUUUUUCCUUUGCACUUCGCGGACGUGGCACUGUUUUG
rnacentral:lncRNA from 1 species